AAAAAUUGCCCAUUGUAAUCUUGCAUAUUAAUUACCCCAAAAUAUUUCACAAUCCUCAAAAUUAAUGUAUUUCCUACUCCUACUUAAGUAUAAUUGUCAAGCUGUUACAAAACAAUAUUAUAAUAAAAAACAAUAAGAUUGGCCCAUCAUUCUCACUUGUAACACCUCUUCAACAUUUCUUUAAAUUCUCUUGAAAUCCUCUUCCUACUCUUUUGCGCACUCA
rnacentral:lncRNA from 1 species